rnacentral:rRNA from 1 species
GGGGAAUAUUGCACAAUGGGGGAAACCCUGAUGCAGCCAUGCCGCGUGAGUGAAGAAGGCCUUCGGGUUGUAAAGCUCUUUCGGCCGGGAAGAAAUCGUGUGGGCUAAUACCCUGCAUGGAUGACGGUACCGGAACAAGAAGCACCGGCUAACUACGUGCCAGCAGCCGCGGUAAUACGUAGGGUGCGAGCGUUAAUCGGAAUUACUGGGCGUAAAGCGUGCGCAGGCGGUUUUUUAAGACAGGCGUGAAAUCCCCGGGCUUAACCUGGGAACUGCGCUUGUGACUGGAAGGCUAGAGUACGGCAGAGGGGGGUGGAAUUCCACGUGUAGCAGUGAAAUGCGUAGAGAUGUGGAGGAACACCGAUGGCGAAGGCAGCCCCCUGGGCCGAUACUGACGCUCAUGCACGAAAGCGUGGGGAGCAAAC